CCAGAAGCACCUGGAAGAAGGAAGAGGAAAUGAUGAGCAAUCCUGUACAGUCCUGCUGUUGUAAUUCUGGACUGCAAAUCCCAGAGAUCUUGGGGGUAGUAGGAAGAGGAAGUGAACACACAGCCAAGUGCCCAGUUCUAGUGCCCCCUAAGCUUCUGGCCUGAGACACUACAGGCCUGUGGCUGCAUUUCCUGAAUCAAAGGAAACAGAGGAAGCCUUAAACUUCAGCAAAGCCAAGUGGCUGUAAGGGGCUUCACAUCUCUGCAGAAUGUUAUAUGAACAUUUCUUUGGCACUGGGAUCAAAAGCAGCUGAAAAUGGAAAGUGAUGGUGGCAUUGAGCACGCUGGCAGGGGAAUGAAAAGUUGAUUUACUAAAAGCUUGAAGCAGAACACGCUGAUCUUUCUCUCUACAUUGGUGAACUUUUAUCAAGCCCUAAGUGUAUUUUCUUUCUCCUGUAAUUUCUAGGAAAUAUAAAAUUUCACUGAAAUAGUCAAGUGAUUUUACUUGCAUUCACUUCUGGAAAAAUAUUGGUGUAAUAUAUAAUAUUUAGGGACAGAAAUAUAAUUGGCAGUCUCCCAUGAAAUAGCUGGUUCCUCAUGAAAAAAUGUGGGGAACUGGCUAUUUUCAACAAGCUGGCAAAGAGCUGGCAAAAAGCUGUCUCCUCAAAGGGUGGGGGAAGGGAGGAAGGGAGCAAAGAGGGGAAAAAA